CCUACGUGAGGCAGCAGUGAGGAAUAUUGGUCAAUGGGCGCGAGCCUGAACCAGCCAAGUAGCGUGAGUGAAGAAGUAUCUCGGUACGUAAAGCUCUAUCAGCAGGGAAGAAAAUGACGGUACCUGACUAAGAAGCCCCGGCUAACUACGUGCCAGCAGCCGCGGUAAUACGUAGGGGGCAAGCGUUAUCCGGAUUUACUGGGUGUAAAGGGAGCGUAGACGGCAGCACAAGUCUGGAGUGAAAUCCCGGGGCUUAACCCCGGAACUGCUUUGGAAACUGUGCGGCUGGAGUGCAGGAGGGGUAAGCGGAAUGCGUAGUGUAGCGGUGAAAUGCGUAGAUAUUAGGAGGAACACCGGUGGCGAAGGCGGCUUACUGGACUGUAACUGACGUUGAGGCUCGAAAGCGUGGGGAGCAAACAGGAUUAGAUACCCGAGUAGUC
rnacentral:rRNA from 1 species